AUGCACGCUGGCGGCGUGCCUAAUACAUGCAAGUAGCACGCUGAAGGCGGAGCUUGCUCUUCUGGAUGAGUUGCGAACGGGUGAGUAACGCGUAGGUAACCUGCCUGGUAGCGGGGGAUAACUAUUGGAAACGAUAGCUAAUACCGCAUGACAACAGUUAUUGCAUGAUAACUGUUUAAAAGGGGCAACUGCUCCACUACCAGAUGGACCUGCGUUGUAUUAGCUAGUUGGUGAGGUAACGGCUCACCAAGGCGACGAUACAUAGCCGACCUGAGAGGGUGAUCGGCCACACUGGGACUGAGACACGGCCCAGACUCCUACGGGAGGCAGCAGUAGGGAAUCUUCGGCAAUGGACGGAAGUCUGACCGAGCAACGCCGCGUGAGUGAAGAAGGUUUUCGGAUCGUAAAGCUCUGUUGUAAGAGAAGAACGAGUGUGAGAGUGGAAAGUUCACACUGUGACGGUAUCUUACCAGAAAGGGACGGCUAACUACGUG
rnacentral:rRNA from 1 species